GACGAACGCUGGCGGCGUGCUUAACACAUGCAAGUCGAACGGAAAGGCCAGUGCUUGCACUGGUACUCGAGUGGCGAACGGGUGAGUAACACGUGGGUGAUCUGCCUUGCACUCUGGGAUAAGCUUGGGAAACUGGGUCUAAUACCGGAUAUGAUCUGCCUUUAGUGUGGUGGUCGGAAAGUUUUUUCGGUGCAAGAUGAGCUCGCGGCCUAUCAGCUUGUUGGUGGGGUAAUGGCCUACCAAGGCGUCGGCGGGUAGCCGGCCUGAGAGAGUGUACGGCCAGAUUGGGACUGAGAUACGGCCCAGACUCCUACGGGAGGCAGGAGGGGGGAGUAUUGAACAAUGGGCGGGAGACUGAUGCAGCGACGACGCGUGGGGGAUGGAGGCAUUCGGGUUGUAAGCUCCUUUCGACAGGGACGGAGCGUAAGUGACGGUACCUGUAUAAGAAGCACCGGCUAACUACGU
rnacentral:rRNA from 1 species